rnacentral:lncRNA from 1 species
CUCCGGACCGAGGGCCGGCGGCCGCCAUCUUUGUGAGGGGCGGCGGGCGGCGCAGACGCGAUGUCGAGGAGGAGGAGGAGCGUGGGCGGAGGCGCGGAGCCGCGGCCCAGCGUGGCCGUGACCGUGACCGUGGCCGUGACCGUGGCCGCGGCCGCGGCGGCGGCGGCCUGGCUGCGGGGCGGCCGGGAAGCUGCCUCGAGGCCCCGGCUGCUCCGCGCCGCCGAGCUGGGCCGCUACCGCGGGGGCGCGGGCGAGCCCGGCCUCUACCUGGCCCUGCUGGGCCGCGUGUUCGACGUGGAGGCCGGGCGGGCCCACUACGCGCGCGGCCGCGCCUACAGCGGCCUGGCCGGUGCGCGCCCCCGACGCGGGCCGGGCCGGGGGGGGGAUGGGGGGGGAUGGGGGGGCGUCUCCUAGGCAUCCCCAGGGGCGUGGUCUGCGCCUCCCUCCCCCCCGGGACCCCCUUCUCCUGCACCCCCACGGGCCUCCCCCGCUGAGCCCGGCCCCGUCCCUGCAGGUCGCGACGCCUCCCGAGCCUUUGUGACCGGGGACUUCUCGCGGGACGGCCUGAGCGACGACGUGUCGGACUUUGGCCCCGCGCAGAUGCUCAUCCUGCGGGACUGGCUGCUGUUCUACGAGGAGAACUACGCCUUCGUGGGUGCGGGCCUCCCUGGGCGUCCUCCCCCCCCCCCCGGGGGUCCCGGGGCCCCUCGGCCCCAAGCGCCGUCUGGGGGGAUGGGCGUGUAAAAGGGGCGCAGGAAAGUUUGGGAGAGGUUCGCCCAGCAGGGGGCGCAGCGUGGCGGGAGGGGGGCGUUGCCGGAAGAAGCUGGGGCCGAGACCCGAAGGACCCCCCCGCCCCCCCCCUGGAAAGGGGGCGGGGCUGGCGACCAGCCCCAGCCAGCGAGGGGAGGAGAGUUAGCGGCUCGGAAUAAAACCGGCCACCGGAGGCGAGGAGGCGGCUGGUCCCGGGCCGUGAGCUGGGUGUGCCCAGGUGUGAGAGCCCCUGCGGCCCGGGGCCGUGAGCUGGGUGUGCCCAGGUGUGAGACUCGGGCGCCCGGCGGGGACGCGCCCGGAAAGAGCCGCUGCCGGGACUCUGGGCGCCCGGAUGGCGGAUGCGGAAGAAGCCCCCAGACCCACGCUCUGCGGCCCCGCCCCCACUUGCCCUCUGGCGCCCUGCCCCCUCCCGCGGCCUUCAGGAAGGAGUCUGAAGGGCUCCUGGCUGCCCCUGGUUCCAGUUGUCUUAUCUCCCCUGAUCCCACGCCCUCGGGCUGCCCCGGCUGCUCCCGCUGCCCUUUGCUCCUUCCCCACCCUUGUUACUUCCAGGACCUUUGACUUAGCGUCCGUUUCCUGCUUCUCCCCUGCCCAGGGACGGGCUCCACGGCUGCGUGUGGCUUUCCCCGUUAGGGGCUGAGCUCCUUACAGGCACAUGCUGUGCUUUGCCUUUCUUCCUGUCCUCGGUGCUGAGCACUAGCGUCUGGCGCACAGUAGGUGCUCAGAAAACCUUUAUUAACCUUUCUUCCACAAAAGGACUCUUCUGGUAUUGGAGGAUGGCUGUCCGGUCCCCCUAAUAUCCCCCUCAUAUCUGUUCUCCAAAUAAAAUGCCCUCGUCUCCUUCAGCUGACCCCCACCCGGCCUGGUCUCCAGCCUCUUCCCCAUCCUUUUGGACCCCAAAGAUUUAGGAGUCCAGCUUCCUCGUUUUGUAGACCAGAAAUCAAGUCCUGGAAGAAGAAGAAGGUUUGACUCCUUGGAGAGCACUAUGGGAAGAAAAAGGUCAUUUGCCUUUCCCUGGAUUGCCCAGUCUUUCUUCUGAUCUCCCCAGCUCCGUUCUCCUCAGGUUCACUCCCAUAAGUGUCCUUGGGGCGUUCCCACUUUGUUGCCAAAAUAAUCCCCAUAAACCCCGGCCCAGGCAGCCCCAGCCCCCAAAUCUUUGAUGACAACUACCUAGAAAAUGCAGGACUCUCCACCAUCGGAGGGGUGACCAUCACAUGCAGCUCCCUGUCAUAGGUGAACCCCCUCCCCACCCUUUCCUUCUCUGUCCCUUUGCCUGGGGUGCCCUCCCCCAUUUUCUCUACUUAAGCGCUCCCCUUCUUUCAGGGUCCAGGCUAAGCCCUCACUCUCGUACAGAAGCCUUCCCCAAGGUCCCUAGGCUCCGGAACUGCUCUUCUUUGUCACAGAGCUUCCUCCCUGCCCCCUGCAUUAUCUGCCAUCCUUUGGGCCAUUUUAUUUCCCCAAUUUGGUUAAAGUUCACGGUCUAGAUUCUGGUUUGUCCGGGAGCCAGGACAAGAGGUGAGGGCUGAACUUGGAGGACGGGGCAAGGACUCGGGGCAAAGCCCAGUUCAGCACAACAGGGAGCCCUGAGUUCGCUGGUCUGGCGGGAGCCAGGAGGCCAUGAGGAAACCUGGUGGGAAGUAAAACUAGAAAGACAGACACGGCUCACACCAUGGGAGAAAGUCACCAGAUGCCCGCUGUACCAGGUGCCAGGUGGCUCUUCAAAGGCGGGUCCUAGAGAAUAGACACUGCCAAGGGAAAUGGACUCCUUGGAUCUCGGCGCUCCUCUGAGGUCAGGAGGGCGGGCAUUUUGCUUUCCUCCGACGGUCCUCCCAAGUGCCUGCUCUUCUGGUCCUCCCUCCCCAAUUAGGACUCACAGGCUGAUUCCCUGGAUGAGGACGACAGUGGGAAGAGACCCCAGACCUGCACUUCUGAACUCGGCUGUCCAGUGAUUGGUGACUUCGAGGGAUGAUGUCUUACCUGGCUCAUGAAUGGGAUUUCAGUGAGGCAGUUGCCCAGUCAUCAGAGGUCGUGGAAGACGAAAGCCAGGGGGGCUGGCAGUGACGCGGGAGGUAGUGGAGACACCCGACCAAGCUCCAAGCUCCAAGCCUUCGUGGCGCCAGAACGGAUCGUAGACGUCUUCCCGUGUUUGGGGCAGACGUACUCGUCCGGGGCUUUGAGGCCCACCCGCUGAGACGGUUUUACUGGGAAGAGGCUGUUUUGUGUGCCACAACUCCUUGGAACCGUAGGAAAGCUGAUUGGGAGGUUCUACAAGGAAAAUGGAGAGCCCACUCCCGCCCUCCUCCGGGCGGAGGCCACCAUGGCACAGGGGGUGGCAGCCAGGGAGACAGAAGACGGACAGAAGCAGCAGUUCCCCCCGUGCAACUCGGAGUGGAGUUCGGCCAGCCCGGGCCGCUUCUGGUGCUCCAAACAGAGCGGAGGCGUGACCAGGGCCUGGGCCGGGGUCCCCAGAAAGCUGUAUCAGCCGGGGGGGAAGAAGCCCCGCUGUGUGUGUGUGAGAGCCACGGGCCCCCCCACCGGCCAGCCGGCCUCCGCCAGCCAUGGCGACCGUGGCGACCUGGACGACCCGAGCCUGCAGGAGUACCCGGGCUGCCCGCCGCUGGCCAGCAGCUGCACCGUGCGAGACUGAGGCCUCGGGCGGCAGCGGCGGCGGCGGCGGGAGCUGGGAGAGGAAGGAGGGGAAGGGGAGACGCCGGGAAGCUCCAGCAGAGCAGCUGAGAGGGCGGGCAGGUGCCCUCCUCCCCCUCCCCACUGGCGCCCUGCCUGAGCAAGACCAAAGCAGGUGUUGGUAGUGGGGGCCUCAGAGCCGGGCGUGGGGGGAGGGGGCGCCUUCGGGGAGCCUGGCCUUCAGGCUGGCCAGCCAAGCCACGGAGCCACCCCCGACCACGUGCAGCGGCCGGGCCACCUAUGGGGCGAAUGAGCCAAACACCGUUGUUAAGCGCCCGCCAUGGGCCGGGCCCUGGUGUCGCGCCGGAAGCGAGGCCGAAUGCAGGCCGGGCCCACUUUCUUACUGGUUUUUCCUUCUGUGGUUUCUUUUACGACGUGAUCUACGGGAAUGGCAGGACUGCAGUUUGUACCCCUCCUCCAGCUGCUCGCCCUCUCAGCAAGGGGGGGGGGGGCAUUUGGAGCCACUUGGCUUUUCAUCUUACUUGAUUUUUCCCCCAGUUACAUUCAGAACAAAUUUGAUUUGUUUGUUUUUAAGAUUUUUGUUCGGUUUUUUAUUUUCC